GAUUUUGAUGCAUUUGAUUUGAGGAUGAGGCUUCCUGGUGUCGUUAGCGAAUUGCACAAGGCUAUAAAUCUCAAUGGUGGUGUGACUUACAUACAUUGCACUGCUGGGCUUGGAAGAGCUCCUGCUGUUACAUUGGCCUACAUGUUUUGGGUCCAAGGCUAUAAACUCAGCCAAGGCCACGAAUUGCUGCAGAGUAAACGGUCAUGCUUCCCUAAGCUGGAUGCCAUCAAAAGUGCAACUGCUGAUAUUCUCACAGGGUUACCCAAGAAUCGUGUUACUUUGACGUGGAAAAGUGACAGUUGCUCCUCAGUUGAAGUCGCUGGGCUUGAUAGUGGAUGGGGACAGAGAAUUCCCUUGAACUUUAAUAAGGAGCAAGGAUUGUGGACUCUUGAGAGGGACUUACCUGAAGGACGUUACGAAUACAAAUACAUAGUAGAUGGUGAAUGGUCCCUCAACGAGGAUGAGUUGAUAACCAUCCCAAACCGAGAUGGCCACAUAAACAACUAUGUCAAUGUUUACAGUAACGAAUCUAGCAGCGAGGACAAAGGGCUGAGAGAGCGUUUGUCCAGCGAAGAUGUAGAUCUUACCCAGGAGGAAAGGCAGACGAUCAGAGAGUUUCUGGAAUCAUAUGGGACAGAUGCGAGCAUAUAAGUCUUAUAAUGGAAUUGAAGAGCAAUGAGUGAUCAAACGACCUUAGCGAAAGCACCACCCUUCUGUGUCUUGACACAAGUUGGCCUUGGAUGUACAACCAUUAGUGACAAUAUAUGAUCAGCAUUAGGUUGAGAGGCAAUAAUUGUAUUUUAGUUUUCUAUGUACAGUCAAUUCCGAAUAAAUGGUCGACAAAACUGUAUCAUUGUGUUCUUGC
rnacentral:misc_RNA from 1 species